rnacentral:rRNA from 1 species
UUUAAGGUCUAGCCUGCCCAAUGAGGAUUUAAAUGGCCGCAGUAUUUUGACUGUGCAAAGGUAGCAUUAUUAUUAGUUUUUUAAUUGGAAGCUUGUAUGAAGGGUUGGACGAAAUAACAUCUGUCUCUAUUUAAAUUAAGUUAGAAUUUAACUUUUAAGUCAAAAGGCUUAAAUGGUAAUAAAAGACGAGAAGACCCUAUAGAUCUUUAUUUAAUUAAGACUUUAAUAAUUUAGGAUUAUUUUAGUUUGAAUUUUUAAUUAAAUUUUAUUGGGGUAAUAUAAAGAUUAAAUUAAUUCUUUUUAUUUAAUACAUUGAUUUAUGAUUAUAUGAUCCAGUAUUACUGAUUAUAAGAUUAAGUUACCUUAGGGAUAACAGCGUAAUUUUUUUGGAGAGCUCUUAUCGAUAAAAAAGUUUGCGACCUCGAUGUUGGAUUAAAAAUUAUCUUGGGUGCAGAAGCUCAGGAUUUUGGUCUGUUCGACCAUUAAAUUUUUACAUGAUCUGAGUUCAGACCGGCGUGAGCCAGGUCGGUUUCUAUCUUUAUUAGUUUAAAAUAUUUUAGUACGAAAGGACCAAAUAUUUGAUAUAGUUAUAUUUAAUUUUUGAAUAGUAUUAUUACUUUGGCAGAAUAGUGCAAUGAAUUUAGAAUUCAUGAAUGUAAUUAUAUUACAAGUAAUACUUGUAUUUGGGAGACUUAUUAUUAAUAAUUGUGUAUAUAUUGAUUCUUGUAAUUUGUGUAUUAGUGGGGGUAGCCUUUUUAACUUUAUUGGAGCGUAGGGUAUUAGAAUAUAUUCAGAUUCGUAAGGGACCCAAUAAGGUAGGAUUU